UGCUCCAUAUAUUGGGGAUUUGAAAGCAAGAUUUGGUUGUUGUCGGGGCCACAAAGAAGAUGGCGGUCAGGUAGCCGGCAACCGGUGACAAAGGUGAAACUUUCAUCACUCAAUCAAGGGGUAUCAUUGGUAAUUUUGGGGGAAAUAUUUUAGCCUCAAUUUUUUAUUCUUGUAGCUAGUAUCACUAUCACCCUAAAAAUAUAAUAAGAAAGCAUUGUAAGGGUAUUAGGGGUAAUAAGGGUAGUUUAGUAAUUUUUUUUAAUUCAUUUAGCAUGAUAAGAAUUUUCCUUCCAGUUCAUCAACAUUAUUUGCUCUGCAAUACAAAUAUGGAUACACUCAAAACAUAACCUAAAGCAACUAGCCAAAUUGCAAUAAAAGUUGAUCCAGAUAAAAAAGAUAAUGUUAAUAGUGAUGAAGCUUAAGAAGUUUCAAAAUGUUUCUGCUUACGUUUAUUAAUUGAUUUUAGGAAUUUACUUAAUUGUAAAUAAUUUCUUUAUGCAUUUAAUAUGUAAAAUGUAUGUAAUCCAUAACUCGUGCAAUUUGAUUUUGAGAUCUGGAAGGCGAUCAAACAGAUGAAAUCCGCCUCUUUUCAAAGAAACUUGAAGAUUCAUCUGCUGAAACAUAUGAUAUGUUCAGAGAAUUAAGUUUUUUCAACAAGAAUUUCAGCAUCUUUUGCAAGUGCUUCUCGAGCUCAAUCGCCUGCAAAAUUCAAUAUUUAGGAUUCACAAAACUCAAAUAAAAUCAAAAGUAAACAAUGCAUGUAAAGAAAUCUAAACUCAAACCCAUAUAAGAACCUUCAGGUAAAUCAAUUACCCUUGGAAAUUGAAAAGUAAGAACCUGCAUAAACACAACAUCAGUCUAAUGAUCUAAUCUACAUUUAUCAUUGUGAUUGUGAGUAGGAGAAAUAUCUAAUCAAAGAAAAGGAAGAAAUCGUACAGCAGGUAAAUCAAUUACCCUUGGAAAUUGAAACAGGAUUGUGUUUGUGUUUGAAAAUAUGGUUAAUGUCUUCUUGCUUUGCUGCAUACAGUCUGUGUUUGGAGUGUGGUAGCGAUUUCUAUUGUUGUAAAUAUGGUUAUAUCAAUUGAAUUGAAAAAAAUUAAAGUGGAUCUUUGGGUUGCAGAUUGCAUCAGCGGAGAAUGUGUUUGGGAUUGGGGGUGGAGGUCUGAACAACGACCUUUCAAUUACCUUGAUUGGGUGAGUAAAGAAGAAGGAAGUAAUCCGAAGAAUUGCUUAACUUCAUCAACGACCGUUAGGAAGGAGGCUGAGCAGCGACAUGGUGGCCACCAAGUUUCUAUCGAUUGGGGUAGAAAGAAAAUCACAACAAAUAACCAUGAAUCCAAC
rnacentral:lncRNA from 1 species